rnacentral:rRNA from 1 species
CACGUAGGGUGCGAGCGUUGUCCGGAAUUAUUGGGCGUAAAGAGCUCGUAGGCGGUUCGGUUAGUCGGGUGUGAAAACUUUGGGCUCAACCCAAAGCGUGCACUCGAUACUGCCGUGACUAGAGUUCGGUAGGGGAGUGGGGAAUUCCUAGUGUAGCGGUGAAAUGCGCAGAUAUUAGGAGGAACACCGGUGGCGAAGGCGCCACUCUGGGCCGAAACUGACGCUGAGGAGCGAAAGCGUGGGUAGCAAACAGG